GAUGAACGCUGGCGGCGUGCCUAAUACAUGCAAGUCGAGCGAACAGACGAGAAGCUUGCUCCUCUGACGUUAGCGGCGGACGGGUGAGUAACACGUGGAUAACCUACCUAUAAGACUGGGAUAACUUCGGGAAACCGGAGCUAAUACCAGAUAAUAUAUUGAACCGCAUGGUUCAAUAGUGAAAGACGGUUUUGCUGUCACUUAUAGAUGGAUCCGCGCCGCAUUAGCUAGUUGGUAAGGUAACGGCUUACCAAGGCAACGAUGCGUAGCCGACCUGAGAGGGUGAUCGGCCACACUGGAACUGAGACACGGUCCAGACUCCUACGGGAGGCAGCAGUAGGGAAUCUUCCGCAAUGGGCGAAAGCUUGACGGAGCAACGCCGCGUGAGUGAUGAAGGUCUUCGGAUCGUAAAACUCUGUUAUUAGGGAAGAACAAAUGUGUAAGUAACUAUGCACGUCUUGACGGUACCUAAUCAGAAAGCCACGGCUAACUACGUG
rnacentral:rRNA from 1 species